UGCACCGGAAAGCCGGUCCGCUUCUUCUUUCCGGUCUUCUCCUUUAAAAAGACAUUCUAAAGUACCAUACCUAAUUUACAAAAUUGACUAAUCAAAUUAAUUACUACAGAAGAAAUCAUUUUCUUAAUCUUUCCUCUAAAAAUGUAACACUUAGAUAAAAAAUAAACUGAAAAGAUGAGAAGUCUAUAAAAUAGCCUCUGAGCCAUCGUCACUGCUUCUGUGUAGGAGGCAGGCAAAUUUCCCCGAAUCGAUGAAUGUGAAAGGGGAAGUUCUUAAGACCCAGACACAGAACAAAAUGGCGAGCAAAGACGGAGCGGUACCCAAUUACAAGAAUGACGACAAGGCUUAUAAAAAACUUAUUUAUGACAUUAGCAUCAAUUUGACUUCGAAAAAUUUGGCUGACUCAAUGUUUUUAAGUGACCUUCCAGAGAGUGUAUGUGAAAGAAUCAGCAAUGGAGGUCAACUGAUGGAGGCUUUUCAUAAGCAUGGAUUGAUUUCAUUUAACCGUAGUGGACUGGCUUAUCUAUCAGGAAUCUUAAAGGAUAUAAGAAGACAUGAUUUAUCUGGAAAAGUUGAUCGGUUCCUUGAAGGGAGGGAGGAAUCUACUUAUGCAUCUCAUGGCAAUGACAAGAAAGG